GAUGAAGAACGUAGCGAAAUGCGAUAAGUAAUGUGAAUUGCAGAUUUCAGUGAAUCAUCGAAUCUUUGAACGCAUCUUGCGCUCCUUGGUAUUCCGAGGAGCAUGCCUGUUUGAGUGUCAUUUUAACUUCUCAACCAUAUCGAAUUGUUUUUCGAGGUGGCUUGGACAUGGGGGUUUUUGCAGGCUUUAAUAAUGAAGUCGGCUCCUCUGAAAUGCAUUAGUGGUAUCUGAAGCAGAACUGCUACUAUUAGGUGUGAUAAUUAUCUAUGCCUCUUGGUAUACUGCAUGAACAGAUUGCGCUGCUUCCAACUUGUACACCCUUUGGUGUUUGACAAAUUUGACCUCAAAUCAGGUAGGACUACCCGCUGAACUUAAGCAUAUCAAUAAGCGGAGGA
rnacentral:misc_RNA from 1 species